rnacentral:rRNA from 1 species
AAUCAACGCUGGCGGCGUGCCUAACACAUGCAAGUCGAACGCGAAAAGGGGCAACCCUGAGUAGAGUGGCGUCCGGGUGAGUAACACGUGGAUAAUCUGCCUGCGGGCGGGGAAUAACUUUCCGAAAGGGAGCUAAUACCGCAUAACACCGUAAUAGGGCAUCCUGAUACGGGUCAAAGAGGGGGAUCGCAAGACCUCUCGCCUGCAGAGGAGUCCGCGGCCGAUUAGCUAGUGGCGAGGUAACGGCUCACCAAGGCAGCGAUCGGUAGCCGGCCUGAGAGGGCGAACGGCCACACUGGCACUGAAAUACGGGCCAGACUCCUACGGGAGGCAGCAGU